ACGGAAGGCAGCAGUGGGGAAUAUUGCACAAUGGGCGGAAGCCUGAUGCAGCGACGCCGCGUGAGGGAUGGAGGCCUUCGGGUUGUGAACCUCUUUCGUCAGUGAAGUAGGCCUGUCUUUUUUGGGUGGGUUGACGGUAGCUGGAUAAGAAGCGCCGGCUAACUACGUGCCAGCAGCCGCGGUAAUACGUAGGGCGCGAGCGUUGUCCGGAAUUAUUGGGCGUAAAGGGCUUGUAGGCGGCUGGUCGCGUCUGUCGUGAAAUCCUCUGGCUUAACUGGGGGCUUGCGGUGGGUACGGGCCGGCUUGAGUGCGGUAGGGGAGGCUGGAAUUCCUGGUGUAGCGGUGGAAUGCGCAGAUAUCAGGAGGAACACCGGUGGCGAAGGCGGGUCUCUGGGCCGUUACUGACGCUGAGGAGCGAAAGCGUGGGGAGCGAACAGGAUUAGAUACCCUGGUA
rnacentral:rRNA from 1 species